GUAAACCUCUGCAAAACCCCAGCUCCAAAAGCUCAAGAAACAGAGAAGAAAUGGAGUUCCAGAUUGUGAGGAGAAGGGUGGGCAGGAUCCUCAACCAUGUAGCUCCUUGUGAUGACAUCUUUCCAUCCAAUCCUCACCUUUUCCCCAUGAAUUGCAGUAGCACUUUAAACACCAUGGUCCGUCGGUAUGAUAAUCGAUUACUCUUUGCACGGCAAGGGUCUGCCUCCCAACCUUGUUUUAUGCAACCAGUUUCAAGUGGCCAGAAUACAGAACAUGAUCAUUCUUGUCAACUGAGUUCACAUCUCACUAAUUCUUCUUCCGGGACAUGUGAUUCUUCGAAAUCGCCACUCUGAGGUUCCCUUGUUCUCUAGAAAAGCUCUGACAAUCGAGCAGCCUGUGAAACAAGACUUCUCAUCCUCAAGUGAACAUCCUAAGUUUGCAAGACAAAUUAGCAGAAAUAAUGACAAAAAGGAAUUAUCUUGUAAUUUGGCAAGACCUAAAUCUGUUCGUCAUGGCUUGGAAUGGACACCACGAAUUGAUGUUGUCGAGUCUGCUUCAAAUUAUGUUGUUAUUGUUGAACUACCGGGUGUCAAUGUUUCUGACAUACUAGUGGAGGUUGAUGAUCAAAAACUGACUGUAAGUGGCAAACGCUUCAAUCAACAAAGGCGGGCAACUGAUUUUUCUGAAAACCUCAAACCCACAUUCCAUCGGAAAGAGAUAUUACAUGGACCUUACAGAGUUGUUUGGUCUCUUCCAAAGGACGUAAACAAGGAAAAUGUUUCAGCUGAGUUUGUGAAUGGAUUUCUGCAGAUAACCCUUAAUAAACAUUGAGAAAUAAAUGCAUGAAUCUCUUCCAUUCUACGGCGAGGAAAAUAAACAAACUCCAGAGUAUCGGUUAGGAAGAAAAAAUGGAAAGCUGAAAUGAGACUGUUAAGAGUAAUAUACCUUUAUAUAUAAAGUAUAUGUAUGUAUACCUUAUAUCUCCCUGUUCAUACAUACUCUUACAUACUCUUGUAUCUAUUUAUUGGGGUUGUUGCCCUAAUGAAUGAUAGUUUUCUUCUCUAACAUUUCCUUAUAGAGACAAUGUGGCUGAAGUUUAUGUCAUAGAUGAAAGAAUGAAUGUAUUAUCAGAAAUGCUAUUCAGAGAUGAACUAUGAUUGAAUUUUGUGACCUUAGCACAAUAAUAAAUCAUCGGAAUUACU